rnacentral:misc_RNA from 1 species
GCUGCUCAAAGAAGAGAACUUGGACUAUAAUUCUUAGCGGCAGCCUCUCAUUCUGUGCAGCAUGGGUGCAAGCUUCCAAGGAGAGCUUCUGGCAGUCCAUCAGCCUACAGAGCUGUUCUCUGUCAGACUCUGCCAACCACGGGUGUGCCUUUAGGUAAAUGUCUAUUGCACGAUAAAGACCAUCAUCCAGAGGCCUAGCAUAAUCAGGAACAGCAGCAGCAAGAGCCUGAAACUUGGGAAGCUUCAAAUUCACGUCUGGGGCAACCUCUGCCAGGUAUCCAUCAAUCAGUUUGGCCACCAUUGUGAUUGGUGUUAAUGAUGGUGAUCCAAUCAACUGGCCAUCAUCAACUGAACAUGGAGAGGCCCCACCUGUAAUUUGAUCCAUGGCAAGGAAGUGUUCAAGAAUCCGCUGCACACAGUCAACAUUGUAAAGUGUCUCCAUUGAAUAAGAGAAAUUGGGCAUCAAAAGAUCUUCUAGUGUUGCCUGAUCAAGCUGCAUCCCAAUCCUUUUCUCUAACUUUGAUAAACAAGAGGGGCUUGCUUUCAGAAUCAAGGCCGUCCGAAGUAGACCAAACAGAAACUUGGUUGGGACUAGACCUUUCUGCAUUGGAAGCAACCUAUCAAUAUC